rnacentral:lncRNA from 1 species
UGUAUAUGAUCUGGCAGGAUAAAUUCAUAACAACUGAGUGAAUACUACAGAAUUUUUAAUUUCAGCUCCUAGUAAGACAGAAUUUUUAUAGAAUUCUAUGUGGAAUGGACUUCCUUUUCUGCUUAGAGCCAUUUUAGGUUUCAGUAAGCAGUCAAGAAGUGACUUUGAGAUUAUUUGUCUGUAAUGACAGAAGAAGACAGUUGAGACAUUUUGGAGGAACACAAGAUGAUUUUUAAGAGACUUCAAUGCAUUCACCCCAUAUCCUUAUUUUAUGCUAAGUCAGGAAGCUUAGGUCCCAUGGGAUUUCACUGUAUCUAUUUGUUUUGCAGGACUCAAGAUGUGUUGCAGUGCAUUAUGAGUUUACAGUGUGGUGCUGACUUUUUAGGAAGCAAGAAAAUCAGAGUGCUGAAGUCAAUUUUCAUUCUCUUGGGCUUUCAAGAAUAUCGAGGACUCCAGGUGCCCCUAUUCCUGUUAUUCUUACACAGCUACCAGUCACUUUGCUGGAGAAUCUGGGCAUGAUCAUGGUUAUCAAGACCAAUCUCAAACUCCACAUCUCUAAGUACUACUUCCUCAGCCAUUGCCGUUUGUUGAUUUCUGUUACUCUACAGUGGUUACACCAAAACUAUUAAAAAACUUGGUUGCAGAAGACAGAAUCAUCUCCUUCACAAGAUGCUUUGUGUAAUUUUUCUUUGCAUGCCUAUUUCUGGUGUCAGAAGCAUUCAUGUAGGCAAUGGUGGUGUAUGACCAAUUUGUGGCAGUUUGUAACCCUCUUCUCUAUACAUUUGUAAUGUCCCAGCAGCCUUGUUUCUUGUUGCUGCGUGCAUCUUAUGCUUGGGGUACAGUCUGCUCUCUGAUGCUCACCUACUUUCUAUUGAAAUUAUCCUUCAUAGGAAAUAAUAUCAUAAAUAACUUUGCCUGGGAGCAUGCCUCUAUUGUCUCUGUGUCUUGCUCUUACCCGUAGGUUAGCCAGAAGAUCAUUUUAGUCUCUUUCACAUUCAAUGAAAUAAGCAGCCUGAUCAUAAUUCUUACUUCUUAU